GCGGGUGUAGUUUAGUGGUAAAACCUCAGCCUUCCAAGCUGAUGAUGGGGUUCGAUUCCCCCCACCCGCUCCA
rnacentral:tRNA from 1 species